AAGCUCGUAGUUGGAUUCAGAGGUGGGGUUGUGGGUCGGGUGUGGCCCGGCAGCCUUGUCUCCGUGUGCCGCUCCCAAUCAACCCGCGUUUGCCCCAGCCUCCUAUCGCACGGAAACGGAGUCCUGCUGGGGUCUCCUUAACUGGGGGUUCCAGCGCUUCCGCGCACAACGUGCGCUUACGGACCGUCCGUGGACGUUACUGUGAACAAAACAGCGUGUUCAAAGCAAGUGGCUUGCCUGCCCUGCAUGUUAAAGCAUGGAAUAACAAGGCAUCGACCACUCGGCGGUGCUUUUGUUGGUCUUUCCCUCCCGGUGGGAAUGCGCAGGCGUGCACACUGCCGGCCUUCUGGCCGUUCUGGGUGCCGUCUCUUCGAGAUCAAUAGGGGCAAACGGGGAGAUACCUAUKGUGGGGAGAGCGGUGAAAUGCGAUGACCCCCAUAGGAGGAACU
rnacentral:rRNA from 1 species